rnacentral:rRNA from 1 species
UUCUGGCUCAGAACGAACGCUGGCGGCGCGUCUUAAGCAUGCAAGUCGAGCGGUAAGGAGGUAGCUUGCUACUUCCCUAGAGCGGCGGACUGGUGAGUAACGCGUGGGUGACGUACCCUUUGGUUGGGGGAUAGCCGGUAGAAAUACCGGGUAAUACCGAAUAAGACCUCUGAUAGAAAGAUCAGAGAGGAAAGCGGCUCCGGCCGCGCCGAAGGAACGGCCCGCGUACUAUUAGCUUGUUGGUGAGGUAACGGCCCACCAAGGCGACGAUAGUUAUCCGGCCUAAGAGGGUGAACGGACACAUUGGGACUGAGAUACGGCCCAGACUCCUACGGGAGGCAGCAGCUAAGAAUAUUCCGCAAUGGAGGAAACUCUGACGGAGCGACGCCGCGUGGAUGAAUGAAGGCCGGAAGGUUGUAAAAUCCUUUUGAGUGUGAUGAAUAAAGCUUACAGGAAAUGGUAAGAAGAUGACCGUAGCACUUGAAUAAGGGGCGGCUAAUUACGUGCCAGCCGCCGC